CAGUCAGGGGCAGCAGCAGGGGAGGAGGUGCACAUGUGAUGGCAGCCCCCACCCCGGCAUCCACAACAGGGGAGGCGAGGGGGCCUCAGAGAGGCCCUAGGAGUACAUGCAGUGACAGUGUUGCGAGAUAUAUCCAUCUCAAAAAGGAAAAGCUUCAUAUAGUAAAAUCUGAUUACAUUCUUAACAUUACAUGGACAUUAACGUAUAAGGCAAAGCUGUACAGAACUGCUGGAAGAUACUGGAGUUAAGUACUGGAAGAAACUUAUUGCAUUUUGCAACUACGACUAAUGAUGUAAUCUCCAAGAAGGGACCAAUCUGCACAACAGAAGGGUGAGUGAUCUAGAAUGAACUACACCUGCUUUCAAACCAUC